GAAAUAGCUGGUUCUCCUCGAAAUAGCUUUAGGGCUAGCCUCACUAAAGAAAUGUACGCAGGUAGAGCACUGAAUUGGCUAGGGGGCCACAAAGCUUACCGAACCUUAUCAAACUUCGAAUGGCGUACAUGGAUGAGUGGGAGUCAGACAGUGGGAGCUAAGUUUCAUUGUCAAAAGGGAAACAGCCCAGAUCAUCAGCUAAGGUCCCAAAGUAUAGGUUAAGUGGCAAAGGAUGUGAGGAUGCUAAGACAACCAGGAUGUUGGCUUAGAAGCAGCCACUCAUUUAAAGAGUGCGUAAUAGCUCACUGGUCGAGUGAUCUUGCGCCGAAAAUGUCCGGGGCUAAACCUAUCACCGAAGCUAUGGAUUUACAUCGGAUGAUGUAAGUGGUAGAGGAGCAUCGUAUGCGGGCUGAAGUCGUACCGUAAGGAGCGAUGGACUGCAUAGGAGAGAGAAUGCUGGCAUGAGUAACGAGAGGGUGGUGAGAAUCCACCCCAUCGAAAGCCUAAGGUUUCCUGGGGAAGGUUCGUCCGCCCAGGGUAAGUCGGGGCCUAAGCCGAGGACUAGAUGGUCGUAGGCGAUGGACAACAGGUUGAUAUUCCUGUACUACCCGAAGCGUCUGAGAGAAGCAGUGACACAGAAGGAUAGGUCAAGCGGGUUGAUGGUAGAACCCGUCCAAGCAUUGAGGCUGUGUGGAUAGUAAAGUACGUCCGCAUAAAGCUGGGGUGUGAUGGGGACAGAACAUAAGUAUGGAAGUGACUGAAUUCACGCUGGCGAGAAAAGCUGCUAUCGAGCAGAAGGGUACCCGUACCGCAAACCGACACAGGUAGGCGAGGAGAGAAUCCUAAGAUGAGCGAGAUAACCCUUGUUAAGGAACUCGGCAAAAUGACUCCGUAACUUCGGGAGAAGGAGUGCCACGAAAGUGGUUGCAGUGAAUAGGCCCAUGCAACUGUUUAUCAAAAACACAGGUCUGUGCAAAAUCGAGAGAUGAUGUAUACGGGCUGACGCCUGCCCAGUGCUGGAAGGUUAAGGGGAACUGUUAGCGCAAGCGAAGCAUUGAACCGAAGCCCCAGUGAACGGCGGCCGUAACUAUAACGGUCCUAAGGUAGCGAAAUUCCUUGUCGGGUAAGUUCCGACCCGCACGAAAGGCGUAAUGAUUUGAGCGCUGUCUCAACAAGGGACUCGGUGAAAUUGUAGGGCUGGUAAAGAUGCCAGCGACCCGCGACUAGACGGAAAGACCCCGUAGAGCUUUACUGUAGCUUGGUAUUGAGUUUUGACAUUGGAUGUACAGGAUAGGUGGGAGACUGAGAGAUGAUGGCGUCAGCUGUCAAGGAGUCGCCGUUGGGAUACCACUCUUGCGAUGUUGGAAUUCUAACAACGACCCGUGAACCGGGCGUUGGACAGUGCCAGGUGGGCAGUUUGACUGGGGCGGUCACCUCCGAAAGAGUAACGGAGGUGCCCAAAGGUCUCCUCAGCAUGGUUGGAAAUCAUGUGUUAGAGUGUAAAGGCAUAAGGAGGCCUGACUGCGAGACUGACAAGUCGAGCAGAGACGAAAGUCGGGCUUAGUGAUCCGGUGG
rnacentral:rRNA from 1 species